rnacentral:rRNA from 1 species
GCUACACAUGCAGUUCGAGCGGUAGAGAGAAGCUUGCUUCCUCUUGAGAGCGGCGGACGGGUGAGUAAUGCCUAGGAAUCUGCCUGGUAGUGGGGGAUAACGUUCGGAAACGAACGCUAAUACCGCAUACGUCCUACGGGAGAAAGCAGGGGACCUUCGGGCCUUGCGCUAUCAGAUGAGCCUAGGUCGGAUUAGCUAGUUGGUGAGGUAAUGGCUCACCAAGGCGACGAUCCGUAACUGGUCUGAGAGGAUGAUCAGUCACACUGGAACUGAGACACGGUCCAGACUCCUACGGGAGGCAGCAGUGGGGAAUAUUGGACAAUGGGCGAAAGCCUGAUCCAGCCAUGCCGCGUGUGUGAAGAAGGUCUUCGGAUUGUAAAGCACUUUAAGUUGGGAGGAAGGGCAUUAACCUAAUACGUUAGUGUUUUGACGUUACCGACAGAAUAAGCACCGGCUAACUCUGUGCCAGCAGCCGCGGUAAUACAGAGGGUGCAAGCGUUAAUCGGAAUUACUGGGCGUAAAGCGCGCGUAGGUGGUUUGUUAAGUUGGAUGUGAAAUCCCCGGGCUC